AACGAACGCUGGCGGCGUGGAUAAGACAUGCAAGUCGAGCGGGAUACUUCGGGUAGCAAUAUUCGGAGUGUUCAGCGGCGCAAGGGUGCGUAACACGUGGGUAAUCUGCCGUGAAGCCUGGAAUAACUCGCUGAAAGGCGAGCUAAUGCCGGAUGUGAAGUUUGGAAGGCAUCUUUUGGACUUCAAAGCUGGGGACCGUAAGGCCUGGCACUUCACGAUGAGCCCCGCGGCCUAUCAGCUAGUUGGUGAGGUAACGGCUCACCAAGGCUAAGACGGGUAGCUGGUCUGAGAGGACGACCAGCCACACUGGAACUGAGACACGGUCCAGACACCUACGGGUGGCAGCAGUCGAGAAUUUUUCACAAUGGGCGAAAGCCUGAUGGAGCGACGCCGCGUGGGGGAUGAAUGGCUUC
rnacentral:rRNA from 1 species